AUUGAACGCUGGCGGCAGGCCUAACACAUGCAAGUCGAGCGGAUGAAGGGAGCUUGCUCCUGGAUUCAGCGGCGGACGGGUGAGUAAUGCCUAGGAAUCUGCCUGGUAGUGGGGGAUAACGUCCGGAAACGGGCGCUAAUACCGCAUACGUCCUGAGGGAGAAAGUGGGGGACCUUCGGACCUCACGCUAUCAGAUGAGCCUAGGUCGGAUUAGCUAGUUGGUGGGGUAAAGGCCUACCAAGGCGACGAUCCGUAACUGGUCUGAGAGGAUGAUCAGUCACACUGGAACUGAGACACGGUCCAGACUCCUACGGGAGGCAGCAGUGUGGAAUAUUGGACAAUGGGCGAAAGCCUGAUCCAGCCAUGCCGCGUGUGUGAAGAAGGUCUUCGGAUUGUAAAGCACUUUAAGUUGGGAGGAAGGGCAGUAAGUUAAUACCUUGCUGUUUUGACGUUACCAACAGAAUAAGCACCGGCUAACUUCGUG
rnacentral:rRNA from 1 species